AAAUCACAGGCUCUUAGGUUCUUAGAGCACCUGUCCCAGAGGGUGGGAAUUUGGAACAACAGGGGAGUGGGGAGUCCACAUGAGCAAUUUCAGGAGGUCCAUAAAACAUAAAAUGCACGACUAUUAAUUUUUCUGGAAAAAAAGUCCAUUUAUUUACUGAUUUUUUGAAGGAAUCUGACCAAAAAAGGAUUAAGAAACAUAGCUUUCCUAAAUGGCAACUGCCUCUACCUUCCUGAUGUAGCUUAAAUUCAAGUCCUACCCUCCUGGUCCCUGUCUACCUUGCUAUUUGCCAGUGCAUAUUAUGCCUUUGUAUUUCUCAAACAUCCUUGAUUUACCCUCUCCAUGAAGCCUUUCCCACUGAUGGUUUCACUUAGAAUUUUACUUUAACAUUUCAAUGUUUUCUAAAAGGAUUAUUUUGCAGUAUAUAACAAUAUCAUGAUCACAUAAAAAAGGGCAACUCCUGGGGUGCCUCAGUCAGUUAAACAUCUGAAUAUGCCCCUCCCCCUGCAUAUUCUCUCUCAAACAAACUUUUUUUAAAAGUGAGCAUUUCCUUAAUAGCAAACAGAUGUCCAAAUUUUCCCACUUGUUUUUAAGAUUUUACUUAAAAAAAAACAAACACUUUAUUUGGGGCAACUGGGUGGCUCUGUGGGUUCAACAUUCAACUUAAGCUCAGAUCAUGGUCUUGCUGCUAUCAUCGUGGAGCCCACUUUGAAUACUCUGUCCCCCUCUAUGCCCCUCCCCAGCUCUCUCACUCUAAUUAAAAAAAAACAGGGUUGAGAGAGUGAGCACUUGGGCAUGCACAAGAAGGGGAUGGGCAGAGAGAAUCCCAAACAGGCCCUGCACUGUCUACAGCAGAGCCUGACAUGGGGAUCAAACUCACAAACCAUGAGAUUGUGAUGAGCUGAAAUCAAGAAUCGGAUGCUUAACUGAGCCACCUAGAUGCCCCCAAGUUCAGUUUCUUGAUGAGAGCAGUUGGUAUAUACAUCCAUCCGAUGGUACAUAAUUCUACUUGGCUCAUUUGUGAUGUUAGCAGCCGCUAAUGAUCAUUGCCUACAUCUCUAAUUUCAUUAAUACUUGUCUUUCUUCACUUUUUACUUGGAAUACCUCUGUAGAGAAAAACUUCCCCUCAUAAGUACCUAGUUACCCUGAGGUACAGUUCAUACAGAAAAGGAUUCUUCAUGUACUGCUUUUAUAAUGAGUUGGUUUUGUAAUAUUAAUCAAAGGUUAAACCAAUGGGGUUUCUUAGGGGUCACUGUGAGCUCAGAUUUUUAAUAUUUUUUUUAUUUAUUGAGAGAGACAGAGACAGUGUGAGUGGGGGAGGGGAAGAGAGAGAAUCCCAAGCAGGCUCAGCACGCUCAGCACAGAGCCCAGUGCAGGGCUCAAACUCACGAAAUCGUGAGAUCUUGACCUGAGCCAAAACCGAGACAGAUGCUCAAUCGACUGAGACACCCAGGCACCCAGUGUGAGCUCAUGGAUUUGUGUGUGUGUGUGUGUUUGAGCUCAUAGAUUUUUUUAACUUCUGUGUUUCAAUUCAUUGUAGUUCUUAAUGAUGCUCAAAUUGUUCUAUUUUUGGCCUGUGGAAACUCUUCCUAUUGGCUCUUAAGUUCUUUUGACAAGACCCUCAUAGUCAAGAAUAGUCUCUUUAAUAAAUGGUGUUGGGAAAACUGGACAGCCACAUGCAAAAGACAAACUGUACCACUAUCUUACACCUUACGCAAAAAUCAACACAAAUGGAUUAAAAACUUGCAUGUAAGACUGGAAACCAUAAACACCUAGAAGAAAAUACAAGUGGUAAGCUCCCUGACAUUGGUCUUGGUGAUGAUUUUUGGUUUUGACACCAAAAACAAAGUCAACAAAAGCAAAACAAAACAAGUGGGACUACAUCAAACCAAAAAGCUUAUGCACAGCAAAGGAAGUUAACAAAAUGAAAAGGCAACCUACCUGAGAAGGGAUUAAUAUUCAAAAUAUAUUAAAAACUCAUACAGCUGAAUAGUUUAAAAAAAAAUCCAAAAAGGGCAGAGAAUAUGAACAUUUUUCCAAUGACAGAUGGCCAACAGGUACAUGAAAAGGUGUUCAACACCACUAAUUAUCAGGGAAAUGCAAGUCAAAAACAAUGGGAUAUUAUCUCAUACCUGUCAGAAAGGCUAUUAUCAAAAGGACAAGAAAUAACAAGUGUUCGCAAGGAUGUGGAGAAAUGGGAACCUUUGUGCGUUGUUGGUAGGAAUGUACGUUGGUGCAGCUACUUCAGUAUGGAGGUUCCUCAAAGAAUUAAAAACAAAACUACCAUACAAUCUAGCAAUUCCACUUCUGGGUAUCUAUCCAAAGAAAAUGAAAACACUU